UACGUAGGCAGCAAGCGUUGUUCGGAGUUACUGGGCGUAAAGGGUGUGUAGGCGGUUCUUUAAGUUUGCUGUGAAAUCUCCCGGCUUAACCGGGAGGGUGCGGUGAAUACCGAGGGACUAGAGUACGGGAGAGGAAAGUGGAAUUCCUGGUGUAGCGGUGAAAUGCGCAGAUAUCAGGAGGAACACCAAUUGCGAAGGCAGCUCGCUGGGACGUUACUGACGCUGAGACGCGAAAGCGUGGGGAGCAAACAGG
rnacentral:rRNA from 1 species